CCCCCAUGUUGGAAGUUGAAGCCUUGACAUGUGGUGUUGUGGCCAGUAACUUGGCACCGUGCAUCGGCUACCUAAGAAAUGGCGGGAAAGUUCCUGACCCUUGCUGCAAAGGAGUUGCGGCUCUCAACAAUGCUGCUAAAACCACCAAAGAUCGCCGAGAUGCUUGUAAUUGCAUUAAAACAACCUCCACUCAAAUUGGUGGGGUUAAUGCUGCAAACGCCGCUGCUCUCCCUGGUCUCUGCCGUGUUAAUAUUCCGUACAAGAUCAGCACAUCCACCAACUGCGCCAGGUUUGCACUUUAUAACUUCUUCUAUCUUAUUCUUCGUUUCAUGUAUUAAAUCUUGUAUAUUAAACAAAAUAAUUGUUAUAAAUCAACGCCCGUUGAAUUUGCAAAUCACUUUUCCGGCUUCGAGAGUAUUCUCUAACGUCAUUUUCUUCGGACGCAGCAUCAAGUGAGUGGAGCAAGAUCGAACAUCAUCCACCGGGUUGCCUCAUGAUCAUAAUAAAGUAGGUGUUUGCCUGUAUUGAUGGGUCUCCACUAGGGCGAGUCCCACACUCAGUCUUGUGUCGUUGUCUUUUUUUUUUUUAACGAGUAUCAUGCGUCGUUAUCCAUGUAUCUUUUGGCGGUAUGCAAUAUUUAUGAAAAUAAAGUACUAUUUUGUUGUUAUUUUCAUGCUUGUCUAAUAUUUCUCACCUUUUCAAGUCAAUAUACCGUAUUAUUCAGAUUUUCCAAUGGCUGUUGUGGAUAUUAAUAAACUGAAUUGAAAUCGAAAGCAUUGAAUGGAAAAAUAUACAUUCCUUGCGACGAUAAUAGUAACUAAAUAUAGCCGAAAAUCUAUUUAAAAUAUUCAAUUGAAUAGUAAAAGGUCAAGAACUUCAUAAUUGAAGAAAUACCUAAAAUAUUUAAUCUAUAUUCAUAGUUCUUUUCUGCCAAAUAAACCUUUACCACCCUUUAAAUAGGAGAACUAAAGAACUCUAAUAAUUUCGUUGAUAACUUAUUUAUAGUUUCAUAAGACCUUAAAUAUUAUAAAAUAAACUUCUUAAAUAAUCCAGAAUCUUUCUAUUCAUACUUUAUCUUGACAACCAAAAUUAAAAGUACUUAAAUUCAUCAUCACAAGUCAAUAAUUAAAAUUUUCAAGAAAAAAUUUAAUUUCAAGAUUUAUCAAAUUAUUGAAUUGAAUUGUUGUAGGGCCCCUUGCUUAAUUAUCUAAUUGCAGCCAGCCAUAUUGGGCCAUCAAAUAGAGACUAAGCAAGUUGCACAAAUGAGCUAUUUUGAAAUAGUUAAAUGUUUAAAAAAUUUCAAUGUGAUCCUUGUUUAUUUUUGCACAAGCUAUUUUGAACCUAAUUUUUUUUAAAAAAUUUAGUCCCUCAUAUUUUUUUAAUUUAUUGAUUUAUUUCUUUAGUUUCUAUAAAUUUUAUUUUGGUAUCGAGAUAGGACUUGUAUUAUAGUUUAGACAAAGAAUUAUUGUUUACAUUUAUUUUAACCACCUAAAUAAUUGAAAUUAAUAUUAAUGGUUUUAUUCGGUGAGAAAAGUCUUAUAGUCUUAUAGUGAUUAUUUUAAGUUUCAAUAUUGUUUAAAAAAUAAAUCUAAAUUAAGGAUAAUAAAAUCUUUUCAGUUUGAUUUUGUGAUUUGAACUGUUUUUGAGUUUAUUAAGCUGCUAAAUCUAAAUGGGACUCUACAUGUUCUAUAACUAAUUUCUGCCUUAGCAAGGUAAUUUUUUUUUUAAAUGAUUGAUGAUUGUCUGCUUUUUUAAACGAGAAAAAAACCAAGCUCCUUCAAAUAAGAAAAAAACAAGCCCAGGCUUGCAUAGCUUUAAAGCCCGCGUGCCUGGGUUGUUCCUUCCAAAAGCCUAGUGUGCUAGGCCAUAAACCUACAAUAUUAGCCUAUAUUUUGGGUUUUGUUUAGAUAUAUAUUUAUGAAAAAAAAUAACCAUAUUAGUUUUAUGAAUGAGUUAAACCAUAAUAUUCAAUCUAUUGUUUUUUUAAUGUGUCUUUCAUCCUUUGAUUUAAAAAAAAUACAAUUUCAUCAUUUAUUAUUAAUAAUCUAAUUUUUUAUUUAACUUAAAUUUUUAAAAAAUACAAUUUCAUCCUUUAUUAUCAUUGAUUUACUUUUGCUAUCUCAGUACAUGUUUGUUAUGACUUUUUUCUUUUAAAAAAACCUUUCAUUAAAAAAAUUACAUAUGCUUUAUUGUCAUAUAAAUCUAUUAAAUGAAUUACAAUCUAUAAAAUAAAAAAAAUAUAUUGAAUUUGAUGACGAGAGUUUGGUUGGUUAACUUAAUUUAACAUGUUUUAUUUUUUUUAUAUAAAAAAAUAGGUUUUUAUAUCAUUUUUUUCUUCAACAUUGAAUUAAUUUAAUUUAAGAUUUAAGUUUUCAAUUUAUUUUUUUCAAGAUUAUCCUCACAACUUGAGCAUGUGAAUCAAAAAUGAUCUAAGUUGAUCUAAUAUUUUUUUCAAUAUUAAAUAAAAAAAUUGUCUAAUAUGCAACUAAUUAUAUAUAUAUAUAUAUAUAUAACAAUGCUUAAAUAUUUUUCUUUUAAAAAAACUUUUUUUCGCGAUGUAUCAUGGGACAAUAAACUAGUAGAACUCUAAAAAAAUGUUGCUUGUAUCAUUAUUGGCCGAACUCUUAUUCUC
rnacentral:lncRNA from 1 species